ensembl:lncRNA
UGUAUAGCUGUUUUAAUAUUGAAGGUGGAAGAAAAAGGCAAGAUUUUCAGCAUAUUGUGCUUUAUUAUUUCAAGAGAGAAAAACACAGCUGAAACACACAAAAAAAUUUGUGCAGUAUAUGGAGAAGGUGGUAUGAGUGAUCAAAUGUGUCAAAAGUGGUUUGUGAAGUUUCAGGCUGGAGAUCUCUCACUGGGUGAUGCUCCACAGUUGGGUAGAGCAGUUGAAGUUGAUACUGAUCAAGUCAAGACAUUAAUAGAACAGUCAGCAUUAUACCACUUGAGAGAUAGCUGACAUGCUCAAAAUACUCAAAUCAAGCAUUGAGAAUCACUUUCACCAGCUUGUUUGUGUUAAUCGCUUUGAUAAAUUUGGGUUCUACAUAAGUGAAGUGGAAAAAACCUUGACCAUAUUUCCACAUGUGGUUCUACUGAAACAUAGCAAAAACUUUCUAUUUUUAAAAUAAAUUGUGAUGGGCAAUGAAAAGUAGACACCGUACAAUAACAUGGAACAGAAGAGAUCAUGGGCAAGCAAAAUGAACCACCACCAACCUCACCAGAGGCCAGUCUUCAUCCAAAGAAGUGAUAUUGGAAGAUGGUGGGAUUGGAAAGGAGUCCUCUAUUAUGAACUUCUUUUGUAAAACCAAACAAUUAUUUCCACCAAGUACUGCUCCCAAUUAGACCCACUGAAAGCAGCAAUCAACAAAAAGUGUUCAAAAUUAGUCAACAGAAAGCCCACAAUCUUGCAUCAAGGGACUGAAAAGAAAAAAAAAGUAGGAAAAAAAGUACAUAAGAACAUUCCCCAAAAAGAUUGGAGGAAGCUACCUAAAAGCAAUGCCUGUUAACCUCUAUCUCAUUCACAUCCAAUUUACUUGUUUAGAUCACUCACAAAAAUUUUAUCAUACCAAGUUACUUUUCUUGCCGACAAGUUUUGUAACAAAGAUAACAUGAACUUACCUGACCAGUAAACUCAAGGAGAAUAAAAGUUGUAUGCCUGCAUUAUUUUCAGUGUUGAUAGCUCUAAAGAUAUGCUUGUUUUACUUAAAAACUCCAAACUUGCUUUAAUAUGCCAAAAUUAAUCUCAGAUCAUAUAAACCUGAAAAGUGCU